UCGCGUUUUCUACCCGCAACGGUUUAUCCGUUAUCUUCUACUUGUUUUUUCGUAAUUUCGUUCUGUUUGUACACAUUGUGGGCCCUGCGGGUGGUGCAGCCCUUUGCGUGAACAGUGCAUAUUUAACUUGUGCGAUGCGACCUGCGUGGAGCAACGGAACUGGGGUCAUUUAAUGGAUCGCCCAUCGAGCUGGCCAUCUCACUGAUGGCUGCAAUGAUCGCUUCCAGCCCUUCGCUUCACUCCGCCAAUCCCUCUUGCACUGUUUUCAUUAUCAUCGACGCUUGCAUACAUCUGACUAUUCUCGACCUGAGUGAUGAUGCGCGACGGUGACGCUAUCAUCCAUUUGCAUAUUUCGACAGAAUAAGGAUCCAAUAAUCAACAACACUACUGCUUACGCGAGUGGAACGAUCGACAACUACUUCUUGCAGCGAUCGUUCCGUUCGAUCGCCCAGGUCCUUUGAACUCUAUAAGCAAGUCGACGGAGUCCUGAAUUUCAACGCGAUGACUCACGGAAACGGAUCGUUAGAUGAAGAUCCUGGAGGAAGGAUAACACCGACGCUCGACUUCAUCCUCGCCUUCAAGCUACUACCGGAAUACUAAGCAUCGUCUAUGCUGUGCUUUGUAAAUUAAAGACACUGGAGUGUAUACCUAUACACGGCGCUAUGCUACUGGAAGGUAGCUUUCCUCGAGUGCAGAAUAAUGUCAAGCCUUGGGGAUGGAUCCUGAUGGUGUUGCAUUCGUGAAUCACUGUUUCUCCAUACGUACACGUAAACCUGAACAGGUCGAUCGUCCCCUCUCCGUUUCUCUCGCUCUUGACUGGUGCGGUAAGAGUGGAUGGGCAAUAUUUCACCUGACAGCGCACCUUAUGACAUGAUAAACAAAGUCAUUAUCUUGGAGAGAAAAAAAAGGCGAGCAUAAGGCCAGCAAACUGGUGCAUUGAGUCAGAAAAAAUCAAAGCAGAUUAUGAAGGGUUCCUUUCAUAAAUGCAGCUAUUAUAUA